GUGAGUCCCGGGAGGGCCCCGCGGCCGGAGGAAGCUGGGUGCGGGUGCGGAUGCGCGAGGCUGGGGCGCGCGGCGCGAGCGCUGAGGAGGCGCUGGGCCCAGGGGGCGCGUGACGCACGGCGCCCAGGGGACCGGGUGGGGGCCCAGCCCUGGGUGCCGGGCGUAGAGCCCGCGGGAGGCCCUGGCGGCUGCGGCAGAGAUCGCCCCGGGGCGCGGGAAUCCGCGUGGGUUUCGGAGGCGCUUAGCUAGCUGGGCGCUUGCUUUGGAGAUCCAGAUCCUGGAGCAUCGCCCGGGGGCGCUGGGAGGGCGGUGAGCGGGAUGCGUGUUCUGGUCCCGGGGCUGCCUCCCCCAGAACCUUGGCAUGGGGACGAAGAGGGUUCUGCCUUUAGCCUGUCCGACCUCCCCACUCCCUUCUCUGCUGGGUGUCUCAGCCUGGGGCUGCUCAGAUUCCCUUCUGGGGAACUUGUCUGCGCGCUGCUGGUAGCUCCGCGCUCAGGCUGGGAGAGAAGGGCAGCGGAAGGGCCCGGGAAACGAAGCGGAGUGGCCGGGUGCAGCCCCAAGGAGAGGAGCUCAGCGUGCCCCAAGCCAUCCUCCAAGGACCCUUACCCUUCCACUCCUAAAGAGUUUCACUCCUCCAAGCUGCUACAUACUACAGUCACUCGCCUCACCAGUUUCUCUUUCUCCAACAACUUGGCCCUGAGAAACAGCAGAAAGUGGGAGAAAUUAACAGCGUUAAAACAAUCCCCAACUUCCACCAACUCGCCCAGACUUCCAAGGGUGGGGAAGUAGCGACGGGCUUGAGUACCGUUUCCGUGACAACGAGCCCCAGGUGGUCCAGUCACAAUGACUGGGGAUGAGCCAGCCCUGUUAAUCCCAAUUCUCGGAAGACUCAGUCCGCUUGUGGAAUUGAAAGCACCCCAGACCUUCCAGGCAUCCAGGACGGGCCUGGGUGUACAGGCGUAUCAAGUUUUCCUGAGUGGCUUGCUCUGCUGAGAGCUGGAAUACCACCUUUUGCUCUGGUCAUCGCUUCUUCCAAGUGAAGGCGUCUUUUAGCAGAACGCCUGCUAGAUGGUUAGCUUCAGGGUAGGUAAAGGUUGGCCGGAGGCAGACUCCCACCUGGGAUCCUAUAUGACAAACUAAAAAUGACUGUUUUAGGCAAACUAGCUGUGAAUGAAAGUGUUGAACUAAAUUAAAAAUCUGACGAAUCUGCCACAGUUCUGGAC
ensembl:lncRNA